rnacentral:rRNA from 1 species
AGCAGCCGCGGUAAUUCCAGCUCCAAUAGCGUAUAUUAAAGUUGUUGCAGUUAAAAAGCUCGUAGUUGAAUUUCGGGAUCAAGGCGUCGGUCGUGCCUUGGUACGUACUGGCGUCAUUGAUUUCUCCCUUCUGACGAACCGUGAUGUCAUUAACUUGGUGUUACGGGAAAUCAGGACUGUUACUUUGAAAAAAUUAGAGUGUUUAAAGCAGGCUCACGCUUGAAUACAUUAGCAUGGAAUAAUGAAAUAGGACGUUCGAUCCUAUUUUGUUGGUUUCUAGGAUCAACGUAAUGAUUAAUAGGGAUAGUUGGGGGCAUUAGUAUUCAAUUGUCAGAGGUGAAAUUCUUGGAUUUAUUGAAGACUAACUACUGCGAAAGCAUUUGCCAAGGAUGUUUUCAUUAAUCAAGAACGAAAGUUAGGGGAUCGAAGACGAUCAGAUACCGUCGUAGUCUUAACCAUAAACUAUGCCGACUAGGGAUCGGAUGAUGUUAAUUAUUUAAUGACUCAUUCGGCGCCUUACG